rnacentral:lncRNA from 13 species
AUGUCUUUGUGGGGAGGGAGGCUCGUAUACCUGUGGCUUUUUCUGGGUAUGGGUCUCUCUUGGAGCAGAUGGAAUCAGCCGCAGAAGCCCAUCCUUCUGAAGGAGAAGAUCCUUUUAACAACAUGUAUUCUUUAUUCCACGCCCCUGUUUGCAGCCUCGGCUAGCGUCUGGCUCGUGAGUCGGGAAUCACAAUCAAUAUUCCUCCGAAGAGCUGUGUCACUUUUUGCGAGUGGCUACUACCCGCAGAGGUGUGAGAGGAGCGUGAAUCCCGUAGCCUCCUUUCAGGAGGGGAAAAAAAAGAAGAGAAACUCAAGGACGAGCCUGAAAGAAAACACACGGCACAGGCGUAUGUGGCAUAAUUUGUGCAUCCGUCAUUGGAAAAGGGGAGCUUGUUGUCUCGCCCUCUCUUUCAACAUCACCUCUGUGACUAUGCCUGUGCCCCUACGCCAGCGAGUUUGGUGGACUGAGACUAAUUGUCAAAGUUGGUAUUGUAGUGUGCUUAAAUACUCAUCAAUGGUUAGCUAACGUCCGUUCAUUCAUCUUGACACUAGCGUCUAUGUUGCCUUCCUAGAAUCAAAGUCCCCCUUUAGAACAUCAGCAGUCUCCUCUCUCACAGACCACAGAUGAAAUCAGGCUCAGUUCCCAUUCCGUUCCUUCUGACAGAACUACAAAUGAGUUUCCAAUUUGAGCGUGAAUAUGAUAGUGAAUCGUCCCUGGGAAGGGCCCAUGGGCCCUGUUCGAAGGUAGUGUGCUAUGUUGGGAAUAGAGGGUACCAUUUGCGACGCAGCCAGAGAGAGUACGAGAGAGUCCGGUUACCAGAUUAUUAAUGAAGGGGUAAUUUGUAGCAGCCGGGAGGCUCUGCUGGAAUGUCAUGAUGUUCUGGUAUUUCCCUGCCAGCCCCAAACAUGUAGACAUAAAUCAUUAUUUCACUUCUAUGUACUGCAGGGCCAGAGGGACACACACACACACACACACACACACACACACACACACACACACACACACACACACACACACACACACACACACACACUCUACCACUCUCAAAGUGAAGGUAUCAGAGGGAGAGAGUUUACCCUUGGAGGCAAUGGCUGUGUGUCUAUCUCAGUCAAUACUCAACACUCUUCAGAGCUGAUGAAUGUCUGUGUUUGCAGGUAAUGACUCAGGGAGGAAAAUUGUUAUUAAACAAUCGGACACAUUUGAGUGAUCUCUGGCAUUAUCCCUGCGUGUGUGUGUGUAUGUGUGCAACAGACAGCGUGAAGGUCACGCCCCCUCACGAUCUCCAACCAAUUUAUAAACCAGUCACUCUGCUGGCGUUACCAUGGCAGCAAGGAGUUAAAGGCAAACAAUGCCAUUCAGGGUGGAAGG